rnacentral:rRNA from 1 species
AACGAACGCUGGCGGCGUGGAUAAGACAUGCAAGUCGAACGGGAUUUUUUCCUGUAGCAAUACAGGAAAAAGUCUAGUGGCGAACGGGUGCGUAACACGUGAGCAACCUGCCGUGAAGUGGGGGAUAGCUCGCCGAAAGGCGAAUUAAUACCGCAUGUGGCCAAGGAAGACAUCUUCCUGACGCCAAAGCCGGGGCAACCUGGCGCUUCUCGAGGGGCCCGCGGCCUAUCAGCUUGUUGGUGAGGUAACGGCUCACCAAGGCUAUGACGGGUAGCUGGUCUGAGAGGACGACCAGCCACACUGGAACUGAGACACGGUCCAGACACCUACGGGUGGCAGCAGUCGAGAAUUUUUCACAAUGGGGGAAACCCUGAUGGAGCGACGCCGCGUGGAGGAUGAAGGUUUUCGGAUUGUAAACUCCUGUCAUUAGAGAACAAGGUACACGGUUUAACUGGCCGUGUGUUGAUAGUAUCUGAAGAGGAAGAGACGGCUAACUCUGUGCCAGCAGCCGCCGUAAAAC